UCAUUCCUCCCCACACCCCCUUACCCAGCCCACUCUCUCUCCCCCUCCCCCUUCUAUAAAUUCUUCGCUGUAGCAUGCUGCCUUUUCUGAAUCCACAUUUGUGUUUCAGAUCAUGUAGAAAGGACAGAAAGUGAGGAGGGAGCAGGGGCUUUUGUCUAAUUUUCUCCUUGUGCUGCCAGAAAGAUAGUGCAGCCCUAAGUCUUAAAAGAAUAUGAAAAUGAACACUAUGUGAUAUGCUGGACUGCACUUAUAGAAUAGAAUUUGGUGAAGUUUGACAUUUAAGACGGAUGUAUUCAGUAAUCUAUAUGAACAUAUGAAGCAGCCUUAUGCUCUGUUAGAGCAUGGGUCCAUCUAGCCCAGUAUUGUCUACUCUGAGUGGCAGUGCUUCUCCAAGGACUCAGCAGGAUUAGGAAAGCACUCUAGCUAUCUGGGCUCCUAUCGGUUGGAGAUUCAAGGGACUGAACUUGGUAACUUCCACAUGCAAAGCAUGCAUUAUAUCAGUGAGGCAUAGCCCCUCCCAUCAGGUUGCGUGUCUAUAGAUAUAUAUAACAAAGCACAUUUUCAUUCACCAAUUUAAUGGACAUCUGCAAGAAAGUUUCUCAAAAGAGACCAGCUUGUUGCAAGUGUUGGAGGACUGAUGCACUACAGAAGCAUAGCAUUUAAACUCUCUGUGAAGGGGAACACAAUGCAACAUUAUUUACUGAUUUUGUUGUUGUCAUCAUUUAUUUACAAAGACAUUUCUGUCCCAAUCUUCUGUUGCCUAUGCACUAAAGGGGAGUCACAACAGUAUAAAAUCUCAAAAAUAUAAAUUAAAAAUACAUUAAAUGACAGUAAUAAAAAUACAAUAAUACAAUAACAUCUCUUUUUGGAAGAAAAUAGCAACCAAAUGUGCCUAAUCUGAGUGAAGCUCUUAUUCUUAAAAUGUAAAAUAAAAUUAAGGCUGCAAUCAUAUAUACAUUUACUGAGGAGUAAGUCCCAUUGAGUUCUUCUAAUGUAAACAGUACAGGUUAUGGUAAGGAAAGAUUUUUCUCUAGCCUGUGUGUUCUCUGCAAAAGAGCUUUCUUUUGUAGGUUGCAGUGUUUCAGCUUAAGAGUUGCUGCAUUUUUGUAUAUAUUGACCAUGUCUUUCCUA